rnacentral:tRNA from 3 species
GCUUUUGAAGCUCUGUGGUUGAGCGCCAAGCUGUUAACUUGGAUGCCGCAGGUUCGAACCCUGCCAAAAGCG